rnacentral:rRNA from 1 species
UACGGGGGGUGCGAGCGUUGUCCGGAAUCACUGGGCGUAAAGGGCGCGUAGGUGGCCCGACAAGUCAGUGGUGAAAGUUCGACGCUUAACGUCGAAUCGGCCACUGAUACUGUUGGGCUGGAGCACUGUAGAGGCUCAUGGAAUUCCGGGUGUAGUGGUGAAAUGCGUAGAGAUCCGGAGGAACCCCAGAGGCGAAGGCGGCGUCCUGGCUCGCAUCUGACGCUCAGACACGACAGCAUGGGGAGCGAACGGG